GCUCCAAUGGGUCAAUGAUAGACUGGCCCAGUAGAUUGGAGUAGUACAAUAAUUUCCCAGGCAGAUGUGGGUUUGAAUCCCACUUGGAGUG